GACGAACGCUGGCGGCGUGCUUAACACAUGCAAGUCGAACGAAGUGGCGAACGGGUGAGUAACGCGUAAUCAACCUGCCCUUCAGAGGGGGACAACAGUUGGAAACGACUGCUAAUACCGCAUACGGAAGGAGGGGAUUGCGUCUGAUUAGCUAGUGGGAGGGGUAACGGCCCACCAGGGGGAUGAUCAGUAGCCGGUCUGAGAGGUUGAACGGCCACAUUGGGACUGCGGCACGGCCCAAACUCCUACGGGAGGCAGCAGUGGGGAAUCUUCCGCAAUGGACGGAAGUCUGACGGAGCAACGCCGCGGGAGUGAUGACGGCCUUCGGGUUGUAAAGCUCUGUUAAGCGGGACGCGGUACCGGAAUAGGAAGCCACGGCUAACUACGUGCCAGCAGCCGCGGUAAUAC
rnacentral:rRNA from 1 species